GAUGGAAUCAGGCAACAUUUACUGCCAUAAUAUGUCAGAAAUACAAGGAAUCUCACUUGGUUGGUGCCAACAAGACAACAGUGCACGAGGAAUCAAAAAUAAUGCUGUGGGUCAGUAGUACAAGGCUAUGGGUUAGUAAUAUAAGGCUAUGGGUUAGUAGUAUAAUGCUAUGGAUUAGUAGUAUAAGGCUAUGGGUUAGUAGUAUAAGGCUAUGGGUUAGUAGUAUAAUGCUAUGGGUUAGUAAUACAAGGCUAUGGGUUAGUAAUAUAAGGCUGUGGGUUAGUAAUACAAGGCUAUGGGUUAGUAAUACAAGGCUAUGGGUUAGUAAUAUAAGGCUAUGGGUUAGUAAUAUAAGGCUAUGGGUUAGUAAUAUAAGGCUAUGGGUUAGUAAUAUAAGGCUAUGGGUUAGUAAUAUAAGGCUAUGGGUUAGUAGUAUAAUGCUAUGGGUUAGUAGUACAAGGCUAUGGGUUAGUAAUACAAGGCUAUGGGUUAGUAAUAUAAGGCUGUGGGUUAGUAAUACAAGGCUAUGGGUUAGUAAUAUAAGGCUAUGGGUUAGUAGUAUAAUGCUAUGGGUUAGUAGUACAAGGCCAUGGGUUAGUAAUACAAGGCUAUGGGUUAGUAAUAUAAGGCUAUGGGUUAGUAGUAUAAGGCUAUGGGUUAGUAAUAUAAGGCUAUGGGUUAGUAAUAUAAGGCUAUGGGUCAGUAGUAUAAGGCUAUGGGUUAGUAAUAUAAGGCUAUGGGUUAGUAGUAUAAGGCUGUGGGUUAGUAAUAUAAGGCUAUGGGUUAGUUUAAAAAUAAAGGAAAACAAGUUAAAGUUACAGACAAAGUGCACCAGCGAACACAAAGAUAUUGCGGACACGUAUGGAGAAUGUCACACACCAGCCCGACCUGCAUUUCUUCUUUUCAAUUUCAACUUUCUACCUUUUUCUCAAUGUCUGCUAAGUUUACAAAAUGUUGAUAAUAAAGUAAUUAUUUGAGUAAUUCCAAUUGUUCACUAAUAUUAAAAGAAGUUAAAUAAAAUUCAAAUAAGCUGCAACCAUUGUUAUGUCGGUAAUUUCUUGAUUAAGUGCCGUUUGUUGUUGCGCGUGAUGAAGAAGUGUCCAUCCUGUGGACGUGGGCUUUGAGCUGAACAGCAACUCUUUUAAUCUGGAUAUUAACUAUGUAUUCAGUAGAGUUUUGAACUUAAUCAGACAAAUAUUGUAAAUGUUUUUUUUAUCUGUAUUGACGAAUUAGAUUCCAAAUUAAAAUGCGAAAUAAAACAGAACUCUUCUAAAGAGUUGUUUUGUAAAACAUUCUUUCGAAUACCAAGCACUGAUAAGUCUUAAUUAUGCAAAAAAGUUGGCUGAUAUCGUCGUAGUUAUUUGCACUCAUUUGUUCUCUGAAAAUAGAGAUCGAUUGAUUUUAACAUCCCUCUCCACAGUAGAUUGGUUUUGCAUUGAAUCAGAUGUACAUCUAGUUUAACUCCAGGGUUAGGGUUGUGUUUUCAUCGGAACAAAAUAAAUAAAUACUCACAAAUAAUUAGCCUGAAUAAUUAAGAUUUAUGUCGCGCUUCAACAUAAAAUAAACCAAUACACUUUAUCUGAUGUAGAUUUGCUAGUCAAAACAAAUUGAAACCACAUUUAUGUAAAAAAUAUAUUUUAAAUACACAGUAAGUAGGUUUGUACAUUUACCAUAAUCUAAUGUUUUCAUAUUCA
ensembl:lncRNA